UUAAUUAGUAGUAAUUUUUAUAUUAUAAAAUAAUAUAUAAUAAAAAUUUAAAAUUUAAUAAAUUUGGCGGUAUUUUAAUCUAUUUAGAGGAAUCUGUUUUUUAAUUGAUAAUCCACAUUUUAUCUUUCUUAAUUUUGUAAAAUUUGUAUAUCGUUGUCAUAAAAAUAUCUUAUUAGAGAAAAAAUUUUUUUAAUUAUAUAAUUAUAAAAAUGUCAAAUCAAGGUGCAGUUUAUGAUUAA
rnacentral:rRNA from 1 species